GAUGAACGCUGGCGGCGUGCCUAAUACAUGCAAGUCGAGCGAACAGACGAGAGUGCUUGCACUCUCUGACGUUAGCGGCGGACGGGUGAGUAACACGUGGGUAACCUACCUAUAAGACUGGGAUAACUUCGGGAAACCGGAGCUAAUACCGGAUAAUAUUUAUCUUCGCAUGAAGCAAUAGUGAAAGACGGUUCUGCUGUCACUUAUAGAUGGACCCGCGGUGUAUUAGCUAGUUGGUGAGGUAACGGCUCACCAAGGCAACGAUACAUAGCCGACCUGAGAGGGUGAUCGGCCACACUGGGACUGAGACACGGACCAGACUCCUACGGGAGGCAGCAGUCGGGAAUCUUACGCAAUGGACGAAAGUCUGACGGAGCAAUGCCGCGUGAGUGAAGAAGGUUUUCGGAUCGUAAAACUCUGUUGUAAGGGAAGAACAAGUACGUUAGUAACUGAACGUACCUUGACGGUACCUUACCAGAAAGCCACGGCUAACUACGUG
rnacentral:rRNA from 1 species